GACGAACGCUGGCGGCGUGCCUAAUACAUGCAAGUUGAGCGCUGAAGGUUGGUACUUGUACCGACUGGAUGAGCAGCGAACGGGUGAGUAACGCGUGGGGAAUCUGCCUUUGAGCGGGGGACAACAUUUGGAAACGAAUGCUAAUACCGCAUAAAAACUUUAAACACAAGUUUUAAGUUUGAAAGAUGCAAUUGCAUCACUCAAAGAUGAUCCCGCGUUGUAUUAGCUAGUUGGUGAGGUAAAGGCUAACCAAGGCGAUGAUACAUAGCCAUCCUGAGAGUGUGAUCAGCAACAUAGGGACUAAGACACGGCCCAAACUCCUGCGGGAGGCAGCAGUAGGGAAUCUUCGGAAAUGGACGAAAGUCUGACCGAGCAACGCCGCGUGGGUGAAGAAGGUUUUCGGAUCGUAAAACUCUGUUGGUAGAGAAGAACGUUGGUGAGAGUGGAAAGCUCAUCAAGUGACGGUAACUACCCAGAAAGGGACGGCUAACUACGUGCCAGCCGCCGCCGUAA
rnacentral:rRNA from 1 species